GUGGGGAAUAUUCCGCAAUGGACGAAAGUCUGACGGAGCAACGCCGCGUGAGUGAUGAAGGUUUUCGGACUGUAAAGCUCUGUUGUUUAGGACGAAAGUGCCUGUUGCGAACAGUUACGGGUAUUGACGGUACUAAACGAGGAAGCCACGGCUAACUACGUGCCAGCAGCCGCGGUAAUACGUAGGUGGCAAGCGUUGUCCGGAAUUAUUGGGCGUAAAGAGCAUGUAGGCGGGAAUCUAAGUCUGUUGUGAAAAUGCGGGGCUCAACCCCGUAUUGCGAUGGAAACUGGGUUUCUUGAGUGCAGGAGAGGAAAGGGGAAUUCCCAGUGUAGCGGUGAAAUGCGUAGAUAUUGGGAGGAACACCAGUGGCGAAGGCGCCUUUCUGGACUGUGUCUGACGCUGAGAUGCGAAAGCCAGGGUAGCGAACGGGAUUAGAAACCCGUGUAGUCC
rnacentral:rRNA from 1 species